ensembl:lncRNA
GUAAGUGGAAAGGAAAGAAGUGUCAACUCUGUUCUCACCACAGCGGGGCUGUCGGAUGGCACCUCCCCCCGCCCCGCGCACCCGGCCCGGCCGGCUCCCCCGCCCUCCUCUCGGAGCGCGCGCACACACCUCCCACCGCUUUGCCCAAAUUAUUUUCGAUCCCGGGAGACUCCGGAUGCCAGACGCGCUCCGCAGCGGCGGCGGCGGCCGCGCCUGAUUCAUUGCGCCAAAGCUGCAGAUGCGACCUCCCGCCUGCGCCCUGUGCCCCGGCCCGCGCCGGGCUGCGUGCGCGCCUGGAGAGAUUCGGGGGGGCGGCAAUUUGUAGGCUCUCCCCCCUCAAGAGUGCACCGUCUCCAUGGAAACCGCGGAGGAGGUCACGGUAGCUGGGCCCCCUCGCGUCACCCCGAGCCUCGCCGGCUGCAGGCGCCGGGAUUGCGGCCUCCCAGGCGCCUCGGCCCGCGUGGACUCUACUCUGAGUUCCCCGCCCCCGCUCCACUCAGCCCGCGGCUCAGACCAUAUGACUCUGCCGGGUCCUAACCGGGAAGGGCGCACCUGGGCACCAGUGCGCUAGGCUAUGCCUCUGUCCCCAGGCUUUGGCACGAGGGAGUGCGCCAAGAUACACGUGCCCAGCUCCAAGACUAGAACACGUGCAGCGAGACGCCACCAAGGGGCUCACGGAACUAGUGAAUGCCCUGUGCGAUCGACCUAUAUAGGUGCACCACUCCAGACCUCUUGCUAAAACAAGACCACCCGUAAAGAACCUGGAGUCCCGCCUAGGUAUCUUGCUAGCUGUGUGACUUCGGGCAAGUCGCAACCUCUCUGCGUCUCACCUUGCUCAUCAGCAAAAUGGAAUUGUCGCGUGGCUUGAGAAAAAGGCUGAGGCCGCACCUGCCCCACCGGAUGGCCGCCCCGGGGCCAGGCCGUGCCCCCCACCGCGCACACUUCCUCCCGGACCCCCAGCGCCCCGCUGAGCACGCAGGGAGGAGGGGACCCGGCCGCCCCCGCCCAGCCAGCUUCCCACAGCCCGAGCAGCCCGGAGCCGAGGAGGCAGGAAGUCUCAGAGCCGGGGCGUGGAGGCGGGGUAGGGGCAGGAAGUUGGGGGUGACUCUCCCAGAGACCCUAGACAGGCCCCGGCGUGGGAGCGGGAUGGGCGGGCGCGUAGGGAUUAAGGGCGCGCCCCCACCCCCGCCUCUGUAGCCUUAGACCACGUGAUCCCGGCCGGAGCGCCCCGCUGGGUGAGGGCGAAGGCCGCUACCUCUGGCGACCCCCAGCAGCGCGCACUAGGAGGGAGGGGCAGCCUUUGUCUACUUUGCCGCAGAAGCAGCCCCCCACAACCCCUCCCCCACGCGCCCGGCCGGGCCCUGCACAGCCCGGGUUUUCCAUCCGGCCCGGCUCGGCUCGGCAGCUGUCAGGGGACCGAGCUGACCUUCGCAAGCAGGGAGUUUCAAUUAGCCGCAGAUCAGAUAAGCGGGCGGGCCAGUCUCUCCGGGCACCGCGGGGGCGCAGCCCCGCCCCCGCCA